GUAUAGUUCAGUUUGGUUAGAACAAUGCACAUAGGUUAUGGGUUCGAUUCCCAUUCUGCACACCA
rnacentral:tRNA from 1 species